rnacentral:rRNA from 1 species
GACGAACGUUGGCGGCGUGCUUAAUACAUGCAAGUCAACUGAAGCAGUGGUAGCAAUAUCGCUGUGGAGGUGGCGCACGGGUGAGUAACACGUAGGUAAUCUGCCUUCAGGUCUGGCAUAACUCCGGGAAACCGGGGCUAAUAGCAGAUGAUGCAGCGGCUCGACAUCGAGACAGUUGUUAAAGCUAUGGCGCCUGAGGAUGAGCCUGCGUCUGAUUAGCUAGUUGGCGGGGUAACGGCCCACCAAGGCAACGAUCAGUAGCUGGUCUGAGAGGAUGAUCAGCCACACUGGAACUGAGACACGGUCCAGACUCCUACGGGAGGCAGCAGUAAGGAAUAUUGCUCAAUGGGAGAAAUCCUGAAGCAGCAACGCCGCGUGAGGGACGAAGGGCUUUUGCUUGUAAACCUCUGUAGUGAGAGAAAAAAAUCCCAAUCUUUGGGACAUGAUGGUAUCUCAAAAGUAAGCCCCGGCUAACUACGUG